UUGGAUACGAUUCUGACAAGCGUCUCCGCGAAUCCGAAGUAAACGGAACUUUUCACCGGGGCGUUUUUCUGCCACGUUACUACCGCCAUUUCUGACGAAAAGUGCUACCGAAGCUGUGCAUAGUCUUUUGGGCUGUCGAUGUCAGUAAUGGCACUACCACAUGGAAACAAAUUGACAGAUAUUAGAUUAUGUCAACAAACGCCUCAUUACAAACCCUUGGUUUGGAGACAAUUGGUGACCGUAUAUGCUUCCAAGAAGCACUCAAGAGGUACAAAGGUCUUAGCAUCCUGCAGAAUUGUACUUUACCUAACUUCAUUCCACAUGAUAUAUUGAAUGAAAUGUUCUCUGAUGAGAAUCAAGUUCUCGCUGUAUUCAAAAUUUGAGGAUGAGCUUGGAAUUUAUCAGAUUGGUAAUCGUGUCCCUGCAUUUAUCUUCCUUCUGAGACCAGCCAACAGAAAGCUUACAGUAAGUUGACACUUUAUUUGAAGCUGAAGUUUUCAGAGACAGGUUCCAACAGCAGGAUCCUAGAGGGAGCAGUAUACUCAGCCUUUAUGAGAUAUGUUCGUGAAGUUGCCAGUGAGUUAUAUCAUUGUUGGAUGUGGAAGCAAGACUUAUAUGGUGUCACUUUUGAUUUGACUUCAAAGUUUUGAAUUUAUAGAUCCAUUGCUCAAAAAUACUUGUCCAACCUUAACCAAACUUGGUAUAUAUAGUUAUUUCAAUUUCAACACACCAUCAUUUCUUGAAUACCAUAACACAU